GCCCUGUGAUGAGACCUUGGCGAAUGUGAGCUAGCUGGUUAAGUGCGUGGUUUGCCCCACCUACUGGUUGGUGGGUAAUCUUGGCAGUGUAGUGGAGAUUGACUGCUCUGCUGUAAGGGCCCACUUACAAUAAAAUCGAUCCCCCCCUCACACUCUUCCUCAGAGACCGGAGGAGGAGGCAGGGUGGAAUUGACAGUGUGAUUUGUGUUCAGUGUGUCUGGAGUGUUUGUGCGCGUGAGUGUGUCUGUAUCAGGAGGCUGGGGCAUUCUCAAUCUGUCAGUCUGCUGUGAACUGCUUCUUUGGUAAUCUGAGGGCA